GAGAUGUUGGUGAAAGGAGCUGC
rnacentral:siRNA from 1 species